AGGUCAUGAUCACACACAAGAGACAGGCUGAUCGCACACACGGCAAUCACACACACACAGCGAUCACACACACACAGAGCGAUCUCUCUCUUACAGGGUGAUCACACACACACACGAUCGUACACACCUCUCCAGGGACAGGGAGAACGCCAGGCUCCGCUCCGCGCGGAAUCUGAGCACAGCAGCAGCAAACCCAUCCUGGGUCUGGGCCUUUCUUCUCUCUCUUUUUCCAUUUAGUCAAACAACACCUCCCCAAGCCCUGAAAAAAUGCCUGCCUGUGAAGCGAGGAGAGGGCGCCGGGUCUGUAAAUAAGAAUUUCUGCACCUGAGGCAAGUGCCUCACUCCCCUCGCCCGGGCACUGCCCUGAGGUGAAGUAGGGUGAAGAGCUGGCAGAGCUUUCUGAGCAACUUGUAUUGUGGGGAUGUUCCCCCCCCCCUUGAACUAGGCAUUAGAGGAAGGAAAGAAAGGCGUAAGGAAAGGAACAGGCGCAGCUUCUCGCCUGUCUAGCCAAGACCAGCGGGCUUUGUAGGCACCAUGCCAGGCAGCUGAUCUCUAGGCAAGAGUCCCACUGAGGUAAGUAGGAGCCCAGCUGCAGGGUCAGCCCUGGUGGGGGUGGGGGGGGCAGAUGUGCACAGUUAGAACAGACGCGCCGCUCACUAUCCGGCACCAGAACAUUUCCACGCUGCCUUUCCCCCGCCCCACAGAACGCAGCCCUGGCUCGCUGAGCGAUCUACCUUCCCAUUGGCCACACUGGGUGACGUGUUGCUGCCGAACCUCCCUAAUAAACAGCUCAUUGGGCCAUGGUGGCUGCUGGUUCGUGAGUGGCUGCGCUAAUGGCCAAUCAGCGCUAUCCUGGGGGUGGGUGGGUGUGACUGACCGUGCGGCGCCGGUUGUUCGAACCUGAGCGCUGGGGAAGGGAGCGGGGACCCGGCAGCCCCGGGCGCUCCGGUGAGUGUGGGGCGGGGCGAGGAGUCGGGCACCGCCUCCACCUCAGCAGAAGCAGUAAGCGGAGUUGACAGGGGAGCCGUGGCGGGCGAUUUGCAGCCGUGAGGACAGCUAGUUACAUGGGUGUGUGCUGUGGGGAAGAUAUCCACAAAGAAAAAGUUUUCAAGGUGCAGAAGUUGCUCUGAUAGACUGAACAAAGAGUAUGCCAGCUCCCUAAUGAGGCAGCCAGCAAUGCCAUAUUGUUAUUGUGGUAGACUGAACAACGAUAACAAAUAUCUAAGAAACACAGAUAUCUUAUAUAUACUAAAGCCAUUUGAAAGUGUCAUAAAAAGACAUUUUAACAGCACCACUGUCUCCUUCUGUGAAAAUCAUUGGCUUUUCACCAUAUUUACAUUCCAUAAAUACAUCGAAGCUGAAGCAACAGGAGAUGCUCUUGUCACAAUGUUCUAUUCCAAUAAUAUUCUCACUAAUUUAUUAAUGUGUAAGCAGGACCUCACUUCAAUAAAGCAUACAUUUAAAAUGAAAUAUAUCUCCACAUAUGCCAGUAGCAUUUUUCACAUCCCUUUAAAAUUAUAUUCAAGUAAAUUAUCUUUUGGUUUAAAAGCAUCCAACCACAAAGAUGAUUUAAAUCUUAUCAGCGGUUCCCUUUUUUAUUACCUUUAAGAAUAGUUACCUGUCUUAAAGAAAAGAUUUCAGAAAAUAAAAACGUGAACACAAUGAAACUGUAAGAGGCAAAGGAGCAGUAGUAUUACACCCGGUAGUAUUGUGUUCUGAGAAAAUGUAUAGUAGUGUGCUUUGGGCAACUUUCAGACUUUUAUCAGCAGAUUGUUUUCACAAUAGAAAUUACACUGGGAAUUUAUUAAAUGGAGUUUCAGUGUACUCUAGUUCUCUAUCAACCACCAAAAUUACAA